GUGGUACUCCCUCCGCCCGAAAAUACUUGUCCAAGGAUGGAUGUAUCUAGAUAUAUUUUAAUUCUAGAUACAUCAAUUUGUGUCAAUUUCUCCGACAAGUAUUUCCGGACGGAGGGAGUAGUUU
rfam:Triticum aestivum genome assembly, contig: Triticum_aestivum_CS42_TGACv1_scaffold_226754_3B